GCCCUCUAGAUUGCUGCAUCAAAAGGACCAAGAAAGAGACUUUUCUGGUUAUACAAUUCCAGGCAGCAUUUCGGGUAUCAAGACAAAGUGUCAGGAUGGAGAAGAUGCAGGGAUCUGUGCUAAUUAUAUGUUGGCUUCAUCUUGGCUGGGUGAAAGGCGGAAACCAGGUGGAGCAGAGUCCUCGUUCCCUGAGACCCCUCGAGGGAGACAUCACCUCCAUGAGCUGCACUCACUCAGUCAGUGGUUUUACUAAUCUGCAGUGGUACAGGCAGGAUUCAGGGACAGGCCUCAAACACCUCUUUUCCAUGUAUUCAGCUGGAGAGGUGAAGCAGAAGGGAAGACUACAAGCCACGUUACUGAAGGAUGGGAGCAGCCUGAACAUCACCCCCGUGCUGCAUGGAGACUCAGCCACCUACUUCUGUGCUGUAGUCACACAGUACUACGCAGGCACCUGUGACCUGCACCCAAAUCUAUAG